rnacentral:rRNA from 1 species
GUGCCAGCCGCCGCGGUAACACGUAGGAGGCGAGCGUUGUCCGGAAUCAUUGGGCGUAAAGAGCGCGCAGGCGGCUCGACAAGUCGGGUGUGAAAUCCCGGGGCUCAACCCCGGGACUGCAUCCGAUACUGUCGGGCUAGAGGUAGGUAGGGGAGAUCGGAAUUCCUGGUGUAGCGGUGAAAUGCGCAGAUAUCAGGAGGAACACCGGUGGCGAAGGCGGAUCUCUGGGCCUUACCUGACGCUCAGGCGCGAAAGCUAGGGGAGCGAACAGGAUUAGAUACCCUCGUAGUCC